CAAAUUAUAACCUCUCUUAAUUUAUAGAAAAUCUCAGUUAUUGAAGAUUCACAAAUUGUAUUAUCUCCUCAUUCAAUCCCCAGUUCCAGUGAGGCGCUUACUUUGCAUGAUGAGCAAAUCUCCAUUAUUGAAGAUUCACAAAUUGUAUUAUUUUCUCAUCCAAUCCCCGGUUCCAGUAAGGCGCUUACUUUGCAUGAGGGAAUAAAUUAUGAGGAUAUUCAAAGUCCAAGUCUUAUUCAGCUAUACAAAAAGAAGCAACCAAAUAACCCAUUUCACUUCAUAUUAUUUAGGA